CGUUGAUGAUGAUGAGUUAUGUUUUGUGUCAAGUGAAAAUAAAAAAAAAUAAAACUGUGAACUGAAUCACAUAGAGGUUCUUUUAACAAAAAAACAAGCAGUUUGGGGGUCAAUGUGGUAUUACGUAACGAUAAAGGCAAAUCUUAAUGUGAUGUGAUUCGGUUUCUUAUCAUUCUAGUGCACGGUAUCGCGUACGAGUUUGUGCCUAAAUUGUAAACAGAGAGAGUUAACAGUGAAUGAGCUUUUGUUGGAUCGAUGGUUUUAGCGCGAUACGUUAACUGAAUGUUUUUAAUGGAUUUCUUUUCAGUAAAAAAUCAAAAAUUUUAAGAAUUAUUUCAAAGGUUGUUUUAG